rnacentral:rRNA from 1 species
GAUUCAUUUUCUCAGUAACGUAGCUUAACGCGGUGAAGUUGACCGCCUGGGGAGUACGGUCGCAAGAUUAAAACUCAAAGGAAUUGACGGGGACCCGCACAAGCGGUGGAUGAUGUGGAUUAAUUCGAUGCAACGCGAAAAACCUUACCUACCCUUGACAUGCCACUAACGAAGCAGAGAUGCAUUAGGUGCCCGAAAGGGAAAGUGGACACAGGUGCUGCAUGGCUGUCGUCAGCUCGUGUCGUGAGAUGUUGGGUUAAGUCCCGCAACGAGCGCAACCCUUGUCUCUAGUUGCUACGCAAGAGCACUCUAGAGAGACUGCCGGUGACAAACCGGAGGAAGGUGGGGAUGACGUCAAGUCCUCAUGGCCCUUAUGGGUAGGGCUUCACACGUCAUACAAUGGUGCGUACAGAGGGUUGCCAACCCGCGAGGGGGAGCUAAUCCCAGAAAACGCAUCGUAGUCCGGAUCGUAGUCUGCAACUCGACUACGUGAAGCUGGAAUCGCUAGUAAAUCGCGGAUCAGCAUGCCGCGGUGAAUACGUUC